UGCCGAAACCCGGGAUCGAACCAGGGACCUUCAGUCUAACGCUCUCCCAACUGAGCUAUUUCGGC